CCUACGGGUGGCAGCAGUAGGGAAUCUUUCACAAUGGGCGAAAGCCUGAUGGAGCAACGCCGCGUGCAGGAUGAAGGCCUUCGGGUUGUAAACUGCUUUUAUAAGCGAGAAAUAUGAUGGUAACUUAUGAAUAAGGAUCGGCUAACUACGUGUCAGCAGCCGCGGUCUUACGUAGGAUCCGCGCAGUAUCCGGUGUGACUGGGUGUAAAGAGUUGCGUAGGUGGUGUAAGAAGUGGCUAGUGAAAACUGGUGGUUCAACCAUUCAGACUAUUAGCGAAACUAUUAAGCUCGAGUUCGUUAGAGGUAAGUGGAAUUUCUAGUGUAGGAGUGAAAUGCGUAGAUAUAAGGAAGAACACCAAUGGCGUAGGCAGGUUACUGGGACGAUUCUGACGCUAAGGGACGAAAGCGUAGGGAGCAAACAGGAUUAGAUACCCGAGUAGUC
rnacentral:rRNA from 1 species